CGCACGCCGUGCGACGCCCGCACCAUGGAAUAGCCCUUCUCGCCGACCACGGUAAGUCCUGAAAUGCAUUUAAUGAGAGACUCUGAGAGCAGCCGAGCCGGUUGGCUUCUGCACAGCCCUCCGACGCCCAUACCAAGACUUUUUAUUGGACCUUCCAAGGAAACGUAAAUAUUUCCUGCUGUGUUUGGUAAAAUUUAUUAUUAUUUGCAUAGCAUGCUAGUUUCCACAGCGGGAAUUCCCAAGGACAAGGACCCUGCCCUUGUAAACGCUCCGAUUUUGCUCACACAAACCCACCCUAAGUUCAGCAUCUGUUUUAGCAGGCAGCAACGCUUCAGAUCUUGGAAGAAACUCCCAAACGGGCUCUUUCAUGAAGGACUUUCUUUGCUGCACAACUAAAGACCAAACCCUAACUAACUUGGAGGUGUUAGUUA